ensembl:lincRNA Gm11820 predicted gene 11820
GAUGGUUGUUGGUCAUUUAUGGAGGUUGUUUGUGGUUUGUUAGUAUCCAUGGUCAAAGAAGAAACAAAAGAAAUUAGAUUUAGGGAUCUUCCUAAUUCCUCUCACCCCUCUAUUGUUUCUCUCAUAUCUAGUGUUAGGAGAUAAAACCAGGGGAAAAGGUGGGAAUAAAAAGAACUCAAAGUAGCAAAGACUAGCCACCAGUAUCUACCACCAAUGCUCUUCAAUAUAUUCUGUAAGGAAUAAAAUCACCUCAGCCGAUUGGCAUUUCUGUUGACAUAUGGAGGUCUGCAGUGGGAUGUUCUGGCAUUGAGAAUUGCCAUGCACUGAUGGCUGCUGGUGCUGCGGAUUGUUAGCAUCUACAAUCUUCAUUGAUCUCUACAGAAUCUGUACAUGACUUAAAAUCUUACUAUGUUCCAAAGCUUGGAGCAAAAGGAAAUACAAACACUGAAAGUAUGAAACUAUAAAUAUCAUAAAGAAAACAGCUAUAGAAGGAAUUGUAUUUCAUCUUGAUGUGAACUGAAAUGGACGUGGAUAUACCCUGGAGUCGGUUAUUAAUUCAGACAGAGGAGGCCACCAUCAACUGAUCUUUACAACUGAUCUUUGAAGGACAGGAGCAUGAAGCUAACUUCGGUUUUACUUGGCUAAAGUGUUUCAUUGACAAGAA